ensembl:snRNA U12 U12 minor spliceosomal RNA
AUGCUUUAAACUUAUGAGUAAGGAAAAUAAUGAUUCGGGGUGAUGCCCGAAUGCUUAAAAAAAAUAAAAGCUUUUUUGACUGUGUGAGAUAGUGUCUCAUUGUGGUUUUGACUGGAUUACAAAAAAUGUUGUACAUA